AUACGGAGGGUGCAAGCGUUAUCCGGAUUCAUUGGGUUUAAAGGGUUCGCAGGCGGCGUAUUAAGUCAGUGGUGAAAUCCCGAGGCUCAACCUCGGAACUGUCAUUGAUACUGGUAUGCUAGAGUAUAGUUGGCGUUGGCGGAAUGUAUCAUGUAGCGGUGAAAUGCUUAGAUAUGAUACAGAACACCGAUCGCGAAGGCAGCUAACGAAACUAUAACUGACGCUCAGGAACGAAAGCGCGGGGAGCGAACAGGAUUAGAAACCCCAGUAGUCC
rnacentral:rRNA from 1 species